CGGAGGGUGCAAGCGUUAUCCGGAUUUACUGGGUUUAAAGGGUGCGUAGGCGGAUAAGUAAGUCCGUGGUGAAAUCCUGCAGCUUAACUGCAGAACUGCCGUGGAUACUAUUUGUCUUGAAUAUCGUGGAGGUUAGCGGAAUAUGUCAUGUAGCGGUGAAAUGCUUAGAUAUGACAUAGAACACCCAUUGCGAAGGCAGCUAACUACGCGAUUAUUGACGCUGAUGCACGAAAGCGUGGGGAUCAAACAGGAUUAGAUACCCUGGUAGUCCACGCCCUAAACGAUGAUUACUCGACAUUGGCGAUACACUGUCAGUGUCUGAGCGAAAAGCAUUAAGUAAUCCACCUGGGAAGUACGAUCGCAAGAUUG
rnacentral:rRNA from 1 species